UGUCUUUUCUUCAGGCCGGCUGACGUCUGAUGCAAACAUUAUAGUUUAUGAUUUAUGAUGUGAUGGAACAAAUGUGAUUUCCUGAUAUCUGCAGAGAGAGCAGAGCUCCAGAUCUCCUCAUGUAUGUUUCAGCUUCCAGCUCUGACAGCAGCGGAGCGUCUCUGCACGCCGCUCAACCAGACGGGAGGAAGGUGGAGCCGGAGAGAACGGCCGGAAAUGAAAGAUGGCUCUCUGGGGAUGAAGAGGAGCAGAGAAAAGAGCGAUGAAGAUUCGGCAGAGAAACACGGAGUGUCAGCUAUCUCAGAACAGAUCAGACUUUGUUUUUCUCCUGGUGGGUAAAACUUAGCAGCUCAUCAUGAAUCAGGAAGCAAACAGGAUCAAUGUUUCCUUAAGGGAAGAACUGAUUUCCCACCAGUCCCACGCUGGUCUGACGGUAACUUAAUUUUAGUGAUAAAAACUUUAAAUAAAUUCAGACAGCAGACAGAGUGGGAAUCGAACCAGAGACCCACAGGAUGAAGUCCUACUCCGCCACCUUCGCUGCUUCUGGACUCACAACUCAAACCAAACAUUCUUCCUCAUCAUACCUCCACUACCAUGCUUCAGCUGGACCAGCUGUCCCUCCUGACACAGUGCAUCAGGUCCAACAUGGCUCCUCUAGUCUCUCCUGUCCAGAUGACAUCACUCAGGUGAAAAUUUCUUUGAACCGUUAGAACCUGCAGUUUGUGUUUUCAAGGUGUUUUCAGGAUGUUUGCAUGGUGUUUUUAGGG